GGCCCAAUGGUGAAAGGAAUCACACCCGCCUUCAUUGUAACGCAAGAAAAUGCCUAGUCAGCGGGAGAUCCCGGUUCGACUCUGGGUUGGGUCA